CAUCCAACAUGUUUCCUCCACAGCUCACGGGCUAGAGUGCAAUGACCCUUGCUGCAAUCACAUGGUCAUGUCCUGAAGUUUGAAGUAGCACCGGUCCAACAACUUUAGGCUGCAACAGCCUGCAUCACCGUCCAACAUGUUUCCUCCACAGGUGUAGCACACUUGAAGCACUCACGUGCUUGAGCAACUUCCCAUCCAGCUUUAAGUCCAAUCUUCACACGGACCAUAGCAUCCACGUUGC
rnacentral:lncRNA from 1 species